rnacentral:rRNA from 1 species
AGAUUGAACGCUGGCGGCAGGCCUAACACAUGCAAGUCGAGCGGCAGCACGGGUACUUGUACCUGGUGGCGAGCGGCGGACGGGUGAGUAAUGCCUAGGAAUCUGCCUGGUAGUGGGGGAUAACGCUCGGAAACGGCGCUAAUACCGCAUACGUCCUACGGGAGAAAGCAGGGGACCUUCGGGCCUUGCGCUAUCAGAUGAGCCUAGGUCGGAUUAGCUAGGUUGGUGGGUAAUGGGCUCACCAAGGCGACGAUCCGUAACUGGUCUGAGAGGAUGAUCAGUCACACU